UGGGGAAUCUUGCGCAAUGGACGAAAGUCUGACGCAGCCACGCCGCGUGAGUGAAGAAGGCCUUCGGGUUGUAAAGCUCUGUCGCCCGGGACGAAAACUAUUUAGGUUAAUAGCCUAAGUAACUGACGGUACCGGGAAAGGAAGCACCGGCUAACUCUGUGCCAGCAGCCGCGGUAAUACAGAGGGUGCAAGCGUUGCUCGGAAUUAUUGGGCGUAAAGGGUAGGUAGGUGGUCUCAUUUGUCUGGGGUGAAAUCCUUGAGCUUAACUCAAGAAGUGCCCCAGAAACGGUGAGACUAGAGUACUGGAGAGGGUCGUGGAAUUCCCGGUGUAGCGGUGAAAUGCGUAGAGAUCGGGAGGAACACCAGAGGCGAAGGCGGCGACCUGGACAGUAACUGACAC
rnacentral:rRNA from 1 species